rnacentral:tRNA from 1 species
GGGGAUGUAGCUCAGUGGUAGAGCUCUUGCCUCGUGUGCAUGAGGCCCUGUGUUCAAUCCCU